GGCCAGUUAGCUAAGUUGGUUACAGCAUCGUGGAUAGCAACGCGAAUGUCGUGGGUUCGAUUCCCAUACUGGCAA
rnacentral:tRNA from 1 species